UACGUAGGGUCCAAGCGUUAUCCGGAAUCACUGGGCGUAAAGCGUGCGUAGGCGGGUUGUUAAGUGCAAUGCGAAAUCCUGUGGCUCAACCAUAUGGACUGUAUUGUAUACUGGCAACCUGGAGGACAUGAGAGGCAAGUGGAAUUACCGGUGUAGCAGUGAAAUGCGUAGAUAUCGGUAGGAACACCAAUGGCGAAGGCAGCUUGCUGGCAUGUUUCUGACGCUAAGGCACGAAAGCGUGGGGAGCGAACAGG
rnacentral:rRNA from 1 species